UGCGUAGGUGGCGCGGUAAGUCAGAUGUGAAAUCCCAGGGCUCAACCCUGGAACUGCAUCCGAUACUACCGUGCUUGAGGACCGGAGAGGAGACUGGAAUUCUCGGUGUAGCAGUGAAAUGCGUAGAGAUCGAGAGGAACACUCGUGGCGAAAGCGAGUCUCUGGACGGAUCCUGACGCUGAGGCACGAAGGCCAGGGUAGCGAAAG
rnacentral:rRNA from 1 species